UACGGAGGGGGCUAGCGUUGUUCGGAAUUACUGGGCGUAAAGCGCACGUAGGCGGAUCAGCCAGUCAGGGGUGAAAUCCCGGGGCUCAACCCCGGAACUGCCCUUGAUACUGCUGGUCUGGAGUUCGAGAGAGGCGAGUGGAAUUCCGAGUGUAGAGGUGAAAUUCGUAGAUAUUCGGAGGAACACCAGUGGCGAAGGCGGCUCGCUGGCUCGACACUGACGCUGAGGUGCGAAAGCGUGGGGAGCAAACAGGAUUAGAUACCCCUGUA
rnacentral:rRNA from 1 species